GCCAAAGUUGAAGCUAUGCUUAUUUAGCAGGCAAAACCAGUAGAAGUCCGAAAUGAAAAGUGAAGGCGAAAACAAAACACAACUCAACUCCUGAGUGUUUUUAGUUCAUAUAAACACAAAACCAAACUCUGAGAGUACACGCCAUACAUCAUAAAAGCAAAUUCAAACUUCAGAAAAUAAGUAGAGUUUUUUUUAUUAUCUUAAGGUUUCAGCACAUGUAAUUCAAGCAUCUCCGUGCCCAAUCAGAGCCAGAAGCAUUUUUUCAUAGUCUCCUGAAGUGUCUCCAGCAAUUGCACGGUCCAAUGUAACACUGUUCCUCCUAUGGUACUCUUCUUUGAUACGCUCCAUGUCAACUUCAGCCCGAGUGGCAACAACUCUAGUAAGAUCCCAUUCGUCUGUACCCAGCUUCUUGAUAGCCAAUCGAAGAACUUUCUCAAAGUGUUUCUCUGGGGUUUUCAAGCAUUCUAUUGCUGCUCUGAGUAGUUUCAGGUACUCAUCGUCAUCAUCAGCUUCCAGAUCCUUGAUGAUUUCAUGGCCAUGGUGAUCAUUGUAGUGGUUGAACGUAGCACUCAGCUGUGCUUUACUCCUAGUAGAAAUGAUUCGGAUGAUCUCCUCGUCAUUGUAAGCCUUGUCAGAGAUCUUCUCAUGCAGUAUAUUUGCUUCCUUUCUUGCUAAUGUCAUGUUCACCUCAUCUCCUUCAUAUCUGAAUGCAGUUAUAAGAGGAACCAAAAGCUUACGGAAAUCCCCACUUGUAUGAUAAGCAACAUCUUCUUCAAGUGAUUUCUUGUAUCGAGCAUGGUAGGCCUGCCUCGCCUUAAAAAGAUCAUCAGAAGACCUGGUACAAGCAAUUUCCAUGAUAACCCAAUUGCUAGCAGUCAGACGUUUGGUAGCCUCAUUAACCAAGUAGGCGUCGCGCUCAGCAGGACUCAAAGUCCAGAGAAGCACCACACGCUGAAAAUCACUUGUCAGUUCAGAAUCCAAGUCCUUGAGAAGAUCCUCUCCAUAAGCAGCAGCAUAAGAAUCUCGGAUUAACUUGCGUUGUGCUGCAUUCCUAUGAGCCAGAAUCUGAAUAAUAAGUUCCUCAUUUGUGCCCCAUCCUUUAAAAGCUUUUUUGAGUUGCUCAGCAUCUUCAUAAGGAUCUGGAACUGAUGCUGGAACUUUAAGACUAGACAUUUUUUUUUCCCUUUCUUGAGAAUGUGCUGUGUGUUCUUGAAUUAUUUAUGAGUCAAAACUAUAGUAUAUGUACAAUCUCAAGAAUAUACAUGGGAACAUAAAAAGUGGAUUCGACAUUUU
rnacentral:misc_RNA from 1 species